ACAAGGAUGACUGCUAAGAAACAUACCCUAAACUGGUAGAUGAGUCCCCAUUUUUGGGUUAACUCAGUGCUAACUUCUACUCCCAUCUGAAGAGACGAAACAUGAUUCAACUGACUGUACUUGGACAGAUUAACUGACUUCCGUUGACUGACGGAGUAGUACUAAUAUUUGAGAGAUAACUGAGAUCAUGAGAUUUCCUGAGUCACAUGACUGACUGAGUUCUAUAGAUGAUAGCUUAACUAAGAUUAUUGUCACAACAUGACAUGGCUCUAGGUACACAGCUAUGUUUUUCGGGUACGAAUACCCCCAGGACUCGAUAGAAGGAAACUGAAACACAUGACAUGACUUGAUCACAAGAUUUGAGUCCAUAAUUCAUAAUAUCAUAAGUAGGGGAUAUCAUAUUUCAUAUAGUUAUUCAACAUCUUAAACAUUGUAGGGAAUGCAUGGAUAUAUUUCGUGUACAUAUUGUAUAUCUCCAUUAUCUUGCAUGUUUCAUACCAUUACAAUAUCAACAUAUGAAAAGCAUGCAAUUCAUAUUGAAGCAUAUAGCUAACAUGAACUUGUCAUUUAGACAUCAUAGAACUAUACAAACAUGAAUUUCUAGCAUCCUAAGCAUUUUAUCGAACACCUUGCAUGCAUUCUUUAAGGCAUAGAUGGGUUUCAUACUUGCACCAUAUUAUACCACCGAGUUCAUGGUUUUCAAUUGACAAACAUAUAUAUUCCAUGAAAAUACCUUUAGACAUUACAUUGAAACUUAAACAACAAUCGUCAACAUGUACAUAUUCAUAUCACCACAAAAAGCUUACAAAAUAAUAUUUAAAACAUGGUUCUUGAGCUCUAUGAACCGAUUGGAUCCAUAGAUGAACACUACUCAUACCUUAGUGAUUGAAUCUUGAAAGAGAUCUAAUGUUUCUGAAAGUUCUUGAAGAAUUUCUUAGGCUUGCCCUUGAUUCUUCUUUACUAGAUUUUAACCCCUUUGGGAAAGAAUGCCCUUGUUCCUGAGGAGAUGAUCUUGAGAGGAAACCCUAAUCUUGUGGUUGAAAAUAUAUAAGAGAUAUUUUUGAGAUGUUUUAACUAAAGAGAAUGGAAGAUAAGACGUUCAUUGAGGGUUAUAAGUCAUGGGAAGUGAAGGGAAAAGACCAAAAUACCCUUAUGAAAUAAAUUUCCAGUUGCUGAAAAUCAUAGCUGACGACAUUUAUGAGAAGGCAUCAAAAGUGUGGUAAGCCGUCAAAAAUGUCUUCACACAGGAGCUAGAAAUUAUGGUUUCUAUCUAAGUCUAACUACCUUUGUGGUAGGGCGUCACAAAUGUGGUAAGCUACCACGAAUGUCAUCACUUAGGAGCUAGUUUCUGCCUAAGGCUGACGACCUUCAUGGUAGGGCAUCACAAAUGUGGUAAGCUACCACGAAUGUCGUCACACAGUUUCCAGCCUAACAUGAUGGAGUAAAAUAGGAAUAAUUCUUUUCUCCAAUAUCGUAUUUAGGCAAAAUUGGUAUUAUUGGAAAUAUAAUUUAAUUAUCUAUCUUUUGAUAGUUCAUGAGCUCAAAAAUUCUAAGUAUAAUGAGAUAUAUUCUCAUUUGAAGUUGACUAUGGCAAUAUCUUUCUCAAGAAUUCAAUCGGUGAGGAAUGUUUUGAUUCGUCUAAUAGCUGGGAGUUAUUUGAAGCCUUAAUAUACAUCUAACCUACUCAUAAAACUAUAAAAGAACCAUGAUGUACUAUGCAUGAGCUUGGUACAUGGCUCUAAUAUUGGUUUGGAUUUUUUGGGCUUUUACAAUAUCUCUCCCUUGGAAACAUUCAUCCUCGAAUGAUGAUUGCUUGAGAGGUGAGAAAAGAUAAAACAAUGUAUACACUGAUCAUGCUCAAGUGGCACAUGAUUUUAGGACUGAAUUGAAUUCUAAACUGAAUAUAGCCUAACUGAACAUGCAUAUCUGAUGCAUGACUGAUAAGCUGAACUCAUGAAUGCAUGAUAAGCUAUACAAUGAUACUUGAUACUUGAUACCAAUUUUAUACUAGAAUUUUGAACAUGAAACUGAAUAAGAUUAAGAAAAAUGGUUACCUCGAGCUAAGCCUGAAUUAGCAGAGAAAAGAUAAGGGUACUUGGUUUGCAUGUAUGCUUCUACUUCCUAAGUAGCUCCCUCCAUGGACUGAUUCCGCCAAAGAACCUUAACUAGAGGGACUUGUUUGUUCCUCAACCUACGAUUCUGAUAGUCGAGGAUUUUGACUAGAAUCUCUUCAUAAAAGAGGUUUUUCUAAAUGUCAAUGCUCUGAAUAGGGACUACAACUACUGGGUCACCUAUGCACUUCUUGAGCAAAGAUACAUGGAAGACUGGAUGAACUGAGGCUAGAUCUGAAAGCAAUUUAAGCUCAUAGGCUACCUUCCCAAAGCGACUGAGAAUCCUGAAGGGACCGACAUAUCGGGGACUGAGCUUUCCUUUCUUACUAAAUCUCUUCACUCCCUUCAUGAGAGAGAUCUUGAGAUAGUCAUAGUCAUCCACCUCGAAUUUGAGAUCCUUUCUACGAACAUUCGCAUAAGACUUCUGUCGGCUCUGAGCAGCCCGAAGUCUUUCUCUGAUCAACUAAACUUUCUCUGAGGCAUCGAGUACUAAGUUAGGCCCUAUGACUGUGGUCUCACAAACUUUGAACCAACUGAUUGGAGACCUACAUCUCCUACCAUAAAGAGCUUCGAAUGAAGCCAUCUGAAUGCUGGAGUGAUAGCUGUUGUUGUAUGCGAACUCAAUCAAAGGAAAGUGGUCCUCCCAGCUUCUCUUGAAAUCAAUUGCACACACCCUUAGCAUAUAUUCUAGAGUCUGAAUGGUCCUUUCAAUUUAACCAUCUAUCUGAAGAUGAAAUGUUGCACUGAGAUGAACUUGGGUACCAAAACCCUUUUGGAAUGCUUUCCAAAAGUGAGAGGUGAACAGGGUACCUCUGUCUGAGAUGAUAGAUAGUAGAACACCGUGUAAUCUGACCAACUCCCUGAUAUAGAGUUUGGCAUAAUCCUCGACCGAGUAAGAGGUGCGAACUGGAAGGAAAUGAGCUGACUUGGUCAUUCUUUCUACAAUGACCCAAACUAAAUCAUGCUGAUGAUGUGUUCUAGGUAAACCUAUUACGAAGUCCAUGUUCACUUCUUCCCACUUCCAAGUAGGAAUAGUGAACUCCUGCAUGGAACCACUAGGUUUUUGAUGCUUUAUCUUAACCUGCUGACAUGUAGAGCACUUAUCCACAAACUCUGCAACGUCCCUCUUCAUCCCAUUCCACCAAUAGAUCUCCCGUAAGUCAUGGUACAUCUUAGUGGCCCCUGGAUAAAUAGAGUAUCACGCACUAUGCAUUUUUUAAGAAUUCUCUGCCUCAAUUCAUCUACACCGAGAACACAUAGACGGCCCUGACAACGAAGAACACUAUCUUUCCCUUGGGAGAAAACCUCUACUUCCUAAUUUUGGACUAACUCUUUUAGCUUGACAAAGCUAGGAUCCCUAUCUUGCUUCUCUUUCACCUUGGAAACUAUAGAAGACUCUGAACUACUCUAAACACAACACCACCCUCUGAAGAGUCGACUAAGAGAACGCCUAGUCUGGCAAGCUGAUGAAUCUCCUGAGCUAAUUUCUUCUUACUAUCCUCAACAUGGGAAACACUACCCAUGGAUAGUCUACUGAGUGCGUCGGCCGCUACAUAGGCCUUGCCAGAAUGAUAAACUCUAACCACCUUCUCUAAUGAAGAUUAAGAUCUUUCUAGGAAAAGACAUACUGAAGGCUCUUAUGAUCUAUGAAAAUGUCUACAUGAACACCGUAUAGAUAAUAACUCCAAAUCUUUAAGGAAAAGACAACUACUGCUAACUCAAGGUCAUGAGUAGGAUAAUAUUUCUCAUGGGGCUUUAACUAUCUGGAUGCGUAGGCUAUGAUUCUACCAUGCUGCAUCAGGACACAACCUAAACCUACUCUGUAUGCAUCACAAUAUACUAUGAAUCCAUCAGAACCAUCAGGAAGUGCUAAAACUGGAGAUGAGGUGAGUCAAGUCUUAAACUCCUAAAAACUCUUCUCACAAGGUUCUAACCACUGAAACUUGACCUUCUUCUGAGUCAAUCUAGACAUAGGAGAUACAAUAGAAGAAAAUUCCUCGACAAACCAUCGAUAAUAGCCAGCCAAACCCAAAAAACUCUUGAUAUCUGAUGGAGAGACAGGGUGAGGCCAGUUCCUUACCACUUCAAUUUUCUGAGGAUCUAUUCUAAUGCUAUCACCAGAAACAAUGUGGCCGAGGUAUUCUUCUGAUCUUAGCCAAAAUUUGCCCUUACUGAACUUGGCGAACAACUGGUGAUCCCAGGGAGUCUAAAGAACAAUUAUGAGAUGGUCUGAAUGAUCACGCUAUGUGCGAGAAUAGACCAAAAUAUCAUCUAUGAAGACUAUAAUGAAUGUGUCCAAGUACUAAUUUAACAUCCGGUUCAUCAAGUCCAUGAAAGUUGCAGGGGCAUUAGUAAGACCAAAGGACAUGACUAAAAAUUCAAAGUGACCAUACCGAGUACAAAAAGCUGUCUUCGGAAUGUCACAUUCUCUAACUCUGAGCUGAUGAUAGCCUGAUCUGAGGUCUAUCUUAGAGAAAUAACUGGCACCCUAAAGUUGGUCAAAAAAUUCAUCUAUCCUAGGUAGCAGAUACUUGUUCUUGAGCGUGACUUUGUUGAACUAACGAUAAUCAAUACACAUUCUGAGAGAACCAUCUUUCUUGUGCGUGAAUAAGACUGGCGCACCCCAUGGAGAUACACUGGGACUGAUGAAUCCUUUAUCUAAGAGAUUUUCUAACUGAUCUUUCAGUUCUUUGAGUUCUGCUGGUGCCAUUCUGUAUGGCGGAAUAAAAAUAGGAUGAGUAUCUAGGAGAAGGUCUAUGCCAAAGUCUAUUUCCCUUUUGCGAAGAAUGCCUAGAAGAUAUUUAGGAAAGACGUCUGAAUAUUCAUUAACCACUAAGACUGCUUCGAUACUGGGAGAUUCACAACUGGAAUCCUUAACAUGCACAAGAUGAUACAUACACCCCUUAUAAAUCAAUUUCUUUGCCCGAAGGUAGGAAACAAGCUGACCCCUGAAAGAUGAAGUACUAUCCUUCCACUCUAGGAUGGGCUCAUUCGAGAACUGAAACUGAACUAUCCUAUUUAGUCGACUGUGGCAUAGCAGAAAUGAAGCCAAUCCAUGCCGAGAAUGACAUCAAAAUCAGUCAUCUCUAACUCAACCAAAUCUGCUGAUAUGGAUUUCUGAAAUAUCAUAAUCGGGCAGUUCCUGUAUACCCACCGAGCUAUGAUGGUUUUACCCACUAGGUUAGAGACUGAAAAGGGUUCUGCUAAAAUUUUGGGACUGAUUCCAAAAUCGCCUGCUAUGUAUGGAGUGAUAAAAGACAAGGAUUCACCUGGGUCUAGAAAAGCAUAAAUGUUUACAUGGAAAAUAUAUAACGUACUAGUAAUGACAUCAGGAGAAUUUUCCUUAUCCUGUUGGGUAUGAAGUGCAUAGAGUCUAUUUGGGCGUUGCCCACUAGUAGCACUGGAAGUGGCACCCUAUUGGUUCGGUGAUCGGACUGGGCUGUGGAAUGAUUUUGCAGACCUUGAGGGCCUGGCUGAGGACACUUCCUAAUCCUAUGGCCUGCCUUACCACAAACAAAAUAGACAUCACUACCGGCUCUGCAAAUACCAUUGUGGUUCUUACCACAAGUCUGACAAAGGAGGGUUUGUUUGGGCACUGCUAAUACUGCCCUAAGAUUUAAAGCCUGGUGCUCUGUCUCUGUUGCCGUCCCUGAACUUCGGAACUAGGGCACUAAAGGAGAAAGGGGCUGGAACUGCUUACUUAGGAUAAAACUGUGAAUGAUUUCCUCCCUCUGAUUUAGGCUAACCAAAACUAAAAUUGCCUGCUCUUUCUCUCUUGUUCUACCUCUCCCUAGUCUUAACCUUCUGCUCCUCUAUCUAUUGAGCGUGGGUCAUGAGCUCGGCUAAAGUCAUAUCGCUGUUUAGCAUUGCAGACCUACACUUAUUUACCAUGCUAUCAUUCACCCCUGACAUAAACUUGCUCAUCUUAGCACUGUUGUCUGCAACCACAUGAAGGGCAUAUCUGGCUAGCUGAGUAAAUCUAAGAGAAUACUCUUUAACUAUCAUAUUUCCCUGCCUGAGAUUGAUGAACUCAAGAACUUUGUCCUCUCUCAGCUCUUGGGGAAAGAAUCUAUCUAAGAAACCUAUGACAAAUUCUUUCUACUCAACAGGACCUCUAUCCUCUAACCUUUCUUCUAAUCACUGCUUGUACCAAGUAUGAGAGACAUCCUACAAUUGGUAUGCGGCUAAUUUGGCACUCUUAGAAGAAAUGACUCCCAUGAUAUCAAUGACCUUCUGGACUUGGUCAACGAAUUCAAAAGGAUUAUCGUUUGGCUUAGACCCAAAGAAAGAUGGAGGGUUUAUUCGGGUGAAGUCCCAAAUCCUAGCUGCUGCUGAAUUGGCCACUAGGUUGGCUGGAAUGACUACUGGUCAUUCAUUCUGGGUAGCUACAGACUGAGAAAGAGUGGUAAAUACGGUCCUAAACUCCGCAUGAGAAAUAUGUUCGCGUAAAGGAUCUUCGGGCUGAGAAGCUGGCUGAUUUCUUCUCUUUGGAGGCAUGUUUCUGAAAUAAGAGAAGAUCGGAUUAGACUGAGAGACUAACUUAAAAUUAUGUUUACUAGCACGACAUGAAUACUGAAGAAAAGGAAUUGUUCCUAAAACAUCUCAUAGCCUCCUGUACAAUAAUAUGGCGCGCAACACACCCAUAUACAAGACUUUACUAGAUGCGACUUUUAGACUUCCUAGGACUCUAUUGAACCUUAAGCUCUGAUACCAAGUUUGUAACGCCCCAAUUUUCCUGAACCGGAAUGCUACACGGUGCUUAUGACCCUGAAGGACCACAACUAACCCAUGACUAAUAUUUGUACCUGUAUACUGCAAUUCAUGAAAUAAUAAUACUGAAAACAUUAACAAUAGUCCAUAAGGUUCAACUGAAAUAAUAUAACAUCCAUAUGGGCGAAAAAUACCCAAAAUAACUAAAAACUGGAUCCAAAAGCUAAAUCUGAGUGUAAAUCCGAAAGCCUCUAAGUAUUGUCUGAAAUAAGUAAUUGAAUGAACAUAUAUCCAACUAACUCUGUAAACUGAUAACUGGCUAAAAUAAUAAUGAAUAAAUACAAUAGUAUUGUCCUCGAAUGAAGAGGAGUCACUGAAUCUCUAUAACUAGAAAUGCUACAGCUAUUUCCAAUCUGGAGCUCUUGUCUCUGAACCUAUGAUGUAACAUGAAAAGAAAGCGCCAUAGCGCAAAUGCAUCAGUACGAGGGGAUGUAAUGAGUAUACGAGUGAGGUAGGCUAAAUAUAAAAAGAGUUUGCAUGCAUAAACAAUGCUAACUGACUAACUGAUAUGAACAUAAGAGUGCAAACAUACAUACAUACAUAGUAACUAAGAUCGUGAGUACGUAAUGGCUAAAUCUGUACACUAAUACAUGGCUAGAACUAUAGUUCUGAUAACAUGGAUGACUGUGUAUGACAACCCUAAAUCUGGUUGAACUCUCUGAGUUCCGUGCUAUAACUGAAUUUGACCGUAUUUAACAGUCCCGGUAUACUGAUAUCUGAAGAAUUGUUUGAGUUCUUUACUGAGACUGAUACUGAAACUUUGGGGCUAGUUGUUUAACCGACAUGCCCCAUGUAUACCAUUAUGGCUAAGAUGGGGUCCAAUCUUCUCCCCGACUGAAGGGGUGUCAAUACCGUGCCACUGGUAAGGACAGUUGUGACUGACCCUUAUAUGGCAGGUACUCAAAGUGAGAACGGUGGGACCCUAAACUGACAGGUUAAGCCACCUCAUCAAUCAUAAUCUGACAGGCUAAGAUGUCUCAACCUUGGUGUUAACUUCUAAUCCCAUCUAAAGAGACUAAACAUGAUUCAACAGACUAUACUUGGAUAGAUUAACUGACUUUUGUUUACUGACAAAGUAGUACUAUUAUCUGAGAGUUAACUGAGAUUAAGAUAUUUCUGAGGUUUCCUGAGUCACAUGACUGAAUAAGUUCUAUAGAUUAUAGCUUGACUGAGAUUAUCAUGACAACAUGACAUGGCUCUAGGUACACAGCUAUGUUUUUUGGGUACGAGUACCCCCAGGACUCAAUAGAAGGAAACUGACAUACAUGACAUGACUUGAUCACAAGAUUUAAGUCCAUAAUUCAUAAUAUCAUAAGUAGGGGAUAUCAUAUUUCAUAUAGUUAUUCAACAUCUUAAACAUUGUAGGGAAUGCAUGGAUAUAUUUUGCGUACAUAUUAUAUAUCUCCAUUAUCUUGCAUGCUUCAUACCACAACAAUAGCAACACCUGAAAAGCAUGGAAUUCAUCUUGUCACUUAGACAUCAUAGAACCAUACAAACAUGAAUUUCUAGCAUCCUAAGCAUCUUAUCAAACACCUUGCAUGAAUUCUUUAAGGCAUAGGUGGGUUUCAUACUUGCACCAUAUUAAACCACCUAAAGUUCAUGGUUUUCAAUUAAAAACAUAUAUAUUCCAUGAAAACACCUUUAGACAUCAAAUCGAAACUUAAACAACAAACUUCAACAUGUACAUACUCAUAUCACCAUAAAAAGUUUACCAAAUAAUAUUCAAAACAUGGUUCUUAAGCUCUAUGAAUGGAUUGGAUCCAUAGAUGAACACUACAUAUACCUUAGUGAUUGAAUCUUAAAAAAGAUCUAAUUUUUCUAUAGGUUCUUGAAUAAUUCCUUAUGCUUGCCCUUGAUUUUUCUUGACUAGGGUUUAACCCCUUUGGGAAAGAAUGCUCUUGUUCCUGAGGAGAUGAUCUUGAGAGAAAACCCUAAUCUUGUGGUUGAAAAUAUAUGAGAGAGUUUUUUGAGAUUUUUUAACUAAAGAGAAUGGAAGAUAAUACAUUCCUUGAGGGUUAUAAGUCAUGGGAAGUGAAGGGAAAAGACCAAAAUACCCUUAUGAAAUAAAUUCCCAGUUGCUGAAAAUUAUAGCAGACACAUUUGUGACGAGGCAUCAAAAGUGUAGUAAUCCGUCAAAAAUGUCGUCACACAAGGGCAUGAAUUGAUGGUUUCUACCUAAUUCUGAUGACCUUCGUGGUAAGGCAUCACAAAUGUGGUAAGCUACCAUGAAUGUUGUCACUUAGGAGCUAGUUUCUGCCUAAGGCUGACGAUCUUCGUGGUAGGGCGUCACAAAUGUUGUAAGCUACCAUGAAUUUAGUCACACAGGAGCUGGUUUCUGCCUAAGGCUGACGACCUUUGUGGUAGGGUGUCACAAGUGUGGUAAGCUACCACGAAUGUCGUCACACAGUUUCCAGCUUGACAUGCUGGAGUAAAAUAUGAAUAACUCUUUACUCCGAUAUUAGAUUUAGGCAAAAUUGGUAUCGUUGAAAAGAUAAUUCAAUUAUAUAUCUUUUAAUAGUUCAUGAGCUCAAAUAUUCCAAGUUUAAUUAGAGAUAUGCUUGUUUGAAUUUGAAUAUGGCAAUAUCUUUCUCAAGAAUUCGAUUGGUGAGGAAUGUUUUGAUUCGUAUAAUAGCUGGAAGUUAUUUGAAGCCUUAAUAUACAUCUAACCUACUCAUAAAACUAUAAAAGAACCAUGAUUUACUAUGCAUGAGCUUGGUACAUGGCUCUAAUAUUAGUUUGGAUUUUUUGGGGUAUUACAAAAGAUUAUGACAUGAGUGUUCUGUAUUAUCUGGUCAAGGCCAAUGUUGUAGCAGAUGCUCUCAGUAAGUUAUUUGUAGGUAGUGUUGACCAUGUUGAGAUUGUUAAGAAGAAGUUAUCUCGAGAAGUUAACUUGAAAGAGUCAGUCAGAGAUCAGAAAGUAGAGGUUUUCUCCUAUGGGGGAGAUAAUAUUACAUUGCUAGGGUUGUCUAUGUGUUCUAGGUGUAGAUUACAUGAGGCAACAUAUUCUUGCAGAAGCGCAUGCUGCAUGUUACUCGAUUAAUCCAGGGGACACUAAGAUGUACCGUAAUUUGUGGGAGAUCUAUUUGAGGAGUGGGAUGAAGAAAGACAUUGCAAAUUUUGUAGCUAAGUGCACUACAUGUCAAUAGGUUAAGAUCGAGCACCAGAAUCCUAGUGGGUCCAUGCAGGAGUUCAAUGUUCCCACAUGGAAGUGGGAAGAAGUAAACAUGGACUUUGUGUUGGGUUUUCCUCGUACUUGUCAUUAGCAUGAUUUGAUUUUGGUUAUCAUAGACAAGAUGACCAAAUCCGCUCAUUUCUUACCAGUUCAUACUUCCUAUUCAGCCGAGGACUAUGGUAAACUCUAUAUCAUAGAGUUGGCCAAGUUAAACGGAGUUUCGGUAUCCGUUAUUUCAAAUAGAGGUACCAGUUUACCUCUUACUUCUGGAAAGCUUUCCAAAAGGGUCUUGGUACCUAAGUUCACCUUAGUAUGACUUUCUACCCUUGGACAGAUGGUCAAGAAGAAAGAACCAUUCAGACUCUAAAAGAUAUGUUAAGAUCCUGCAUUGUUGAUUUUAAAGGUAGUUGGGAUGACCAUUUUCCCUUGAUUGAAUUUGCCUAUAAUAAUAGCUAUCAUUCUAGUAUUCAAAUGGCUCCAUUUAAGGAUCUUUAUGGUAGGAUAUGUAGAUCUCCAAUUGGUUGGUUUGAAGUGGGUAAGGCCAUAAUAGUAGAGCUUGACUUAGUAUUUGAUGCCUUAGAGAAGGUUCAGUUGAUUAGAGAACGGCUUAGGGCAGCCCAGAGCUGAUAGAAAUUGUAUGUAGAUGUGAGGAGAAAAGAUCUCAAGUUUGAGAUUGGUGAUUUUAUGUUCUUGAAAAACUCUCCCAUGAAUAGAGUGAAGAGGUUCGGCAACAAGGGGAAUUCUAAGCUGUUUUGAAAAGAUAACUUACAAUCUUCUAUUGCCUUCAGAUAUAGCUUCAGAACACCCAGUAUUCCACAUCUCCCUACUAAAGAAAUGCAUUGGAGACCCAGCAGUAAUAGUCCUCUUAAACAGCAUAGAUAUUCAGAAUGAUCUCUCUUUCAAAGAGGCUCAGUCCAAGUCCUCGAUCAUCAGAUUUGCAAACUGGGGAACAAAGAAGUUUCCUUAGUGAAAGUUCUUUGGCAGAAUCAGUCUGUUGAGAGAGCUACACAGGAAGUAGAAGCAGAUAUACGGACUAAGUAUCCUCACCUCUUCUCCGCAAACUCAGACUCAGCUUGAGGUAACAAUCUUCCUUAUAUUUACUCAGUUCCAUGUUCAAAUUUAGUACAAACUUCAGUUACAGUGCAUAUCACCAUCAUGACAAUCAUGCAUUCAUAAAUCAGUUCAGUCAUGCACUCACUAUAAGAAAUACAGUUUUUUGUGAUGACUUUCAGUGUCAACACAAACAAUUGCCACAAAAGUUAGGUUUUUUGUGGCGACAUAUAAAAGUUGUCACAAAAGGUAUAAAAUUUAAGGGCGAUUGUUAAAGUCGCCACUAAUAAUAACAUAUUUAGUGGCGACUAUAUGUAGGUCACCACAAAUAUGUAGUAACUUUUUCGACAAAAUUUGGGUUAGUAACGACCUAUGAAUUGUCACUACUAAAAGUCUUUUGUGGCUACUUAGUCUCCACUAAUAAUGGCAUAUUUAGUGGCGACUAUGUGUAGGUCGCCCCAAAUAUGUGGUAAUUUUGCCAAUAAAAUUUGGGUUAGUGGCGAACUAUGUCGCUAUUAAAAGUCUUUUGUGGCGACUUAAUCGCUGCUAAAGAGAGACUUGUUGUUGCCAUCUUUUUUGUCGCCACUAAUACUUCUACUUUGUUAUUCUUCCCACUUAUAUAGGUAAAUUAAAAUAUUUUUAGUGGAUAUAAUGAGGUGAUAUUACAGAGGAAUAUAACUGGAUAUAAUUUACAAUUUAUCAAUUCAAAUACGAUAUAUUUUACAAGUUACUACUAUGUGACAAGGAGGUCACAGGUUCAAGACUUGGAAAUAGCCUCUGGCAGAAAUGUAAGGUAAGGUUGCGUACGAUACAUCCUUGUGGUGGGGCCCUUCCCCGGACACCAUGCAUAGCGGUAGCUUUAGUGCACCGGGCUGCCCUUUUUUUGUAAAUACGAUAUUUUACAUAAUUUUAUUUAUAUUUAUUAAAUCAUUUUUUCACAAAUAUGCACGCUCACAAUUUACAAAGGCUUUGUCUUUUAUUAUUAUUAUUAUUUCUAUUUUAUAUAAUGUUUUAUGUAACAUAAAUUUUAAAUGCAAAGUUAUUAUUAUUUCUAUUAUUAGAUUUAUUAAAAUAGUAGAGCUAAAUCAAUUCAAUUAUCUUUUCAAUUUUAUUUAAAUUCUAGCCAUUGUUUAAACUCGAUCUAUAGCAAUUUUAACAUAAAAAUUUUCCCAUUUAAAUUUAAUUUCAACUCUUUAAUUUAAUUGUUUCCUAAUUUUAAAUAUCUUAUUACUUUAAAUCUCAGCCAUGGAUCAAAUUGAUCCAAGGGCUGAGAUUAAUACUCUUUCCCAUUAACACCAAAAAACAAACCCUAAUCCUUAUUCUCAAGACAUCAGCUGCCCUUUUUCCUCUUCUCUCUUCUUUCUCUCUCUAUCCCUCUUUUCUCUCUUCUCUCUAAAUGAAACCAACACCAGAAGUCAUGCAAAAACGGUCAUCAUCCUUCCGUUAACCAAUACCAGCGCCACUUCUUCUCUCUCCACCGCCGGCAGACAUCUCCAAUCGGAGAACUCCCUCAGUUCACCACGCCACCUCCAGCCGCCCCUAAAUCCACCAUGAACCACCAGCGAACAGCGACGCCAUUGCUUUCUCUCCUUCGCUAGGGCCGCCCUCCGGCGCCUCUCCGUUCUCCUCUCCGCCUUUACCCACUAGCCACCGGAGAAGCGAGCAACGUCGUUGCCACUCCAGCCCCGUUAGACGCCCCAGCCACCACAACUACGAUCCCGCUGGUCACCUCACUGCCCAACCAACAGUCACCCGCUGGAGACUCCCAUCCCCCGUUCGUCGUCUCUUCUCCAAUCAACAAUGAUAAAAUUCUUCAAGUCCAUGUCUCUUCUCCAAUCAACAAUGAUAAAAUUCUUCAAGUCCAUGAAGGAUUCACAUUUAGGAUGUGAAUCCUCCUCAGGUUCGUCGUUCUAUUUUAAUUUUUAUCAAAAAUUUCUUCUACCCUUUUUUUUAGUUUUGACAGAUCCCAUGAUAAAAUUGAUAUGGAUUGAUUGAGAAUUUUGUCAAUUUUUGUGGAAUUCUGUUUGUUUAGUCAACUAUGCUAUCAUGGCAUUUUGUUGGUCACUCAAAAAAAUUAAUUACGUGAUUUUGACAUGAUAAGUUUGGUUUGAUUACGUGUUCCCAUCCUAAUUGAUUAGUCUCUUUAUUCAAAUUCAGAAUGACUGAGUAUUUAGCUGACUUUGUUUGGUGGAGUUUCUCCUUGUGUAUAGUGUACGACAAUUCCUGAUGCUCAAUGUUAGAUCCGUUUUGAAGUUAUUUUAUCUUCUUGUUUAUAGUAGAAAUUCUUCGUUAAUUGAUUAUAUUUAAUAUUCUCUUGUUUCUUUGACUGAACCUUAUUCUUAAUUGUGUUAGUUGAAAAUAGAAAAUUGGAGUGAUUGAUUUUUCCUCUGAUUGAAUAUUAUUAGUUAAUUGAUUUAAUGUUUAGAGAAAAUCUCCUUGACUAGUUGCAUUGAAUUUCUUUUUACUGGCUAGAUCUUUCUUUUAGUUUCGUUGUCCUUUUAGUCUAUUUUGGUACAAGAGUUGAAUUGAGAUCUUUCUUUGUUGUGGUACAAGAGUUAAAUUGUUCUGCAUUUCUUAUGUUUGCGAAUUUCUACUGCAAGCCAACUGAAAUUAUGACUUCUUUUUAGUGUGAACUAUUAAGGGAACUCGACAAAUGGAUAUGCACUAGUCACUAGGAAUAAGAAAAUUUUUUCUAAUAAGAUAGCUAGUUUCAAUUUGCAUUACAAACCUAAAAUAGAACUAGAAAUAGAUUGGAACUUGAGAUACCAUGAUCUUUGUCCACCCAUAUGUUUUAAGUUAAUAUGUAGUGUUUUAAUUACUCUCCUAUAUUGUUGUUUCUAUCUAUAGUUAGUCUUGAAUGUGUUUUAUUUCCAUCAAUUAUGCAUGAUUAUUUUACUAAGUGUUAUUUAGUUAAGCAUUAAUUCAGAAAUAGGGAGAGAGAGAACCCCUAUCCCCUUGCCAGGAGCAACUUCAAUUCAGUUACACUAUAGCUGUUGUUUAUUGUAUAUACAUACAACUCUCUCAGCUAUUAAAAGGUUUGAUUUCUUAACUUGCUUCUCUAGUUUCAUUGGUUUAUUGAUAACAGGUUACUUUUUAAUUCUUGAAAGUUUCUACUGUUUUCUUUGAGUAAUUUUUUCUAAGUUCAUUUGCGAGUUUUUCCUUAAAAAGCUUUUCCUAUAGUAGUACCAUAGAAAACCAUAAUUGAAAGGUAACUCAGAAUGAUCAAUUAUAUGAAAGACAUGCACUGAUAAAGUCCUUAUGUUGUUGGUUGAUUUUCUUACGUUCAACUUUAAGCAAUGAAAAUGGUUCUAGUGAGGCCACUGAGUUGCCCAUAGUUUGGAUGAAGUUAGAUAGCUAAAUAGCUUCUAAGUUACACCUUUUGGAAUGAUAGUAAGCGGAUUUAAUUGGUUGUUUGCGAAGUUCAUAAUGUGAGAUAUUGAAAUUGCAUUUGUGAACAAUCUUUUUAUGGGCUAAAUUCUUUUUCAAUUCUUAAGGUGUAGAAAGUAGGCUUGUAAUCAGCUCUUUCAUUAUUUUUAACGAAUUUGAAUCUUUCUAAGCUUCUAGUCUACUUGUUAUAAUCAACUCUUUCAUUCUUUUUUCUGGAAUUGCUUAUUAUGAUUUUGGACCAUAAUCUUUAAGUUCAAGUAAAAACUCGUGAACCAGGCAUACUGCUUGACUUUGAUUUUCUUCUCUUAUGAUAUCUAUUUUUGUUUUUGUUAUAUGUGUGCACUUUUCAAUGUAUUAGCAGGCAGAUGCCUAAAUGGCUAGUCAUAUGCCAUUAUCCAUCAAUUUUUAGGAACUCUAGUAUUAUGUAUCCUGGGGUUUGCUGUUUGUUUUCAGUCAUGGUGCAGUUGCUAUCACAAUAUUUAUAGGAUUAUGCUAUCUUUUUUUAUUCUUUCUUACGAACUUUCUUACUACUAUUCUUUGUCUUGAUCCGGGGUCUAUCCGAAACAUCCUUGCAACUUCUCUGAAAGUAGUGGUAUGGACUGCGUAUAUCUUAUCUGCCCCAGACCCCACUAUGUGAGAAUACACUGAGUUUGUUGUUGUUGUAAGAGUAGUUAAAAAGGAAGUUCAUUUUCUGAAAAUAAAAAAGGGCAGAAUUUUUAUUGAGUCAAAGUUCCUAAGCUUUCUUAAUGUAGUUCAUCAUUUGAGGAAUUAAAAGUCUAUCCUUUUGGAAGAGCCAGUUUAAUAAGUAUGUUUUUAUCCCCAUUUGUAAGAUGAGUGUUGAGGG
rnacentral:lncRNA from 1 species